AGAGUUUGAUCCUGGCUCAGAUUGAACGCUGGCGGCAGGCCUAACACAUGCAAGUCGAGCGGCAGCGGGAAAGUAGCUUGCUACUUUUGCCGGCGAGCGGCGGACGGGUGAGUAAUGCCUGGGGAUCUGCC
rnacentral:rRNA from 1 species